AGAAUGCGCAUUCCAACAAUAUUUCAUUUGCCUUUUCUUCUUCCACACGAAUUGCAUAAAUUUUUGUUUUGUUUGUUAUUGUUAUUUAAAGCUAUUUGUUUAGGUUUUUGUGAUUUAUGCUUGGAAAACAAUUGUUGCUCGAAAUCUUUCGAUCGGCAUUUUGUUAUAUAUAUAUAUAUAUAUAUAUAUGUAUAUAUAUAUGAGUGUGAUCUGCAUCUACUUAAGCUUAGCCCUCAGCCAAUCCUCGGUUAAUUCAUCCAAUUCACGUAUUUCGUACACUCGAGUCAGAUC